rnacentral:rRNA from 1 species
GAUGAACGCUGGCGGCGUGCCUAAUACAUGCAAGUCGAGCGAACAGAUGAGGAGCUUGCUCCUCUGACGUUAGCGGCGGACGGGUGAGUAACACGUGGAUAACCUACCUAUAAGACUGGGAUAACUUCGGGAAACCGGAGCUAAUACCGGAUAAUAUAUUGAACCGCAUGGUUCAGUAGUGAAAGACGGUUUUGCUGUCACUUAUAGAUGGAUCCGCGCCGCAUUAGCUAGUUGGUAAGGUAACGGCUUACCAAGGCAACGAUGCGUAGCCGACCUGGGAGGGGGGUCGCCCACAUGGGAGCGGAGACGGGGUCCAGACGCCUGCGGGAGGCAGCAGUAGGGAACGUUCCGCAGUGGGCGAAAGCCUGACGGAGCGGCGGCGAGUGAGUGAUGAAGGUGUUCGGAGCGUAAAGCUCUGUUAUUGGGGAAGAACAAAUGUGUAAGUAAAUAUGCACGGAUUGACGGUACCUAAUCAGAAAGCCACGGCUAACUACGUG